GGGGAAUAUUGCGCAAUGGGGGAAACCCUGACGCAGCAACGCCGCGUGUGUGAAGAAGGCCUUCGGGUCGUAAAGCACUGUUGGGAGGAACGAGCCGCUCAUGUGACCCAUGAGCCCGACGGUACCUCCUGAGGAGGCACCGGCUAACUCCGUGCCAGCAGCCGCGGUAAUACGGAGGGUGCAAGCGUUGUUCGGAAUUAUUGGGCGUAAAGCGCGCGCAGGCGGCUUUUUAAGUCUGAUGUGAAAGCCCUCGGCUCAACCGAGGACGUGCAUUGGAUACUGGAAGGCUUGAGUCUCGGAGAGGAAAGCGGAAUUCCCAGUGUAGAGGUGAAAUUCGUAGAUAUUGGGAGGAACACCGGUGGCGAAGGCGGCUUUCUGGACGAUGACUGACGCUGAGGCGCGAAAGCGUGGGUAGCAAAC
rnacentral:rRNA from 1 species